rnacentral:rRNA from 1 species
CCUACGGGAGGCAGCAGUGAGGAAUAUUGGUCAAUGGGCGGGAGACUGAACCAGCCAAGUCGCGUGAAGGAUGAAUGCCCUGCGGGUUGUAAACUUCUUUUAUAAAGGAAUAAAGUGAGGGACGCGUCCCUUUAUGUAUGUACUUUAUGAAAAAGUAUCGGCUAACUCCGUGCCAGCAGCCGCGGUAAUACGGAGGAUGCGAGCGUUAUCCGGAUUUAGUGGGUUUAAAGGGAGCGUAGAUGGGUUGUUAAGUCAGUUGUGAAAGUUUGCGGCUCAACCGUAAAAUUGCAAUUGAAACUGGCAGUCUUGAGUUCAGUGGAGGUAGGCGGAAUGCGUGGUGUAGCGGUGAAAUGCUUAGAUAUCACGAAGAACCCCGAUUGCGAUGGCAGCAUACCGGUUCCCCACUGACGCUCAGGCACGAAAGCGUGGGUAUCGAACAGGAUUAGAUACCCCUGUAGUC